CGGGGGGAGCAAGCGUUGUUCGGAUUUACUGGGCGUAGAGGGCGCGUAGGCGGCCACCGCAAGUCGACUGUGAAAUCUCCGGGCUUAACCCGGAAAGGUCAGCCGAUACUGCGGGGCUAGAGUGCAGAAGGGGCAACUGGAAUUCUCGGUGUAGCGGUGAAAUGCGUAGAUAUCGAGAGGAACACCUGCGGCGAAGGCGGGUUGCUGGGCUGACACUGACGCUGAUGCGCGAAAGCUAGGGGAGCGAACGGGAUUAGAUACCCCGGUAGUCCUAGCCUUAAACGAUGAAUGCUUGGUGUCUGGGGUUUUAUAGUCCCCGGGUGCCGUCGCUAACGCUUUAAGCAUUCCGCCUGGGGAGUACGGUCGCAAGACUG
rnacentral:rRNA from 1 species